UACGGGGGGGGCAAGCGUUGUUCGGAAUUACUGGGCGUAAAGGGCUCGUAGGCGGCCAACUAAGUCAUACGUGAAAUCCCUCGGCUUAACCGGGGAACUGCGUCUGAUACUGGAUGGCUUGAGUUCGGGAGAGGGAUGCGGAAUUCCGGGUGUAGCGGUGGAAUGCGUAGAGAUCCGGAGGAAGACCGGUGGCGAAGGCGGCCUGCUGGGCAGUUACUGACACUGAGGCGCGACAGCGUGGGGAGCAAACAGGG
rnacentral:rRNA from 1 species